GGGAUCCUGCUCCCCUCGUCACCGGUGAGUGCCUGUGGUGUGCACUGGGUGUGUGGGAGUGGGUUCCAAAGGCCGGGGGGCCUGCUUGGCCCCCCGGCUCGUUAGGGCAGGUUAGGCUCCAUGACUGCUCUGAUGUCACCUCUGGGUGCUGGGUGAGCUUCUCUCCUUUCAGCUGCUUCUCUCUGCUGCCUGCUGAAGAGGGCAGGAAGGAGCCUGUGAGCCGUCUGGAGAAGCCUCGCCUGAGCCUGCUGGAGAUGCCUGAGGAGUCCUCUUCUUCCAGCAGGUUCCUUUCCCUCUGCAGCUCCCUGGCAGCUCUGGAGAAGGAUGGGUUUGGCACUAGUGACACAUCUUCAGCUGGACAUGUCUCCGUGUGGCUGAUAGGGAGGUGCCACUGGACAACAAGCAAGGGUUUGUGUGUUGUGAUGGUUUGGGUGUUCUCUGCCCCCCACACUUUGGAAGUCUCCCAGACUUGACUCAGCAGCUCUGGAAGGUGUGUCUGAUCCCCUGCACCAGUGACCACCCAGCCACCUGGAAGCUCUCCAGCUCCUUGGAAGACAUGAGAAAGGGGAACGAG